GAUGUCAGCUCUGCAGUGAUGGGUAAACUAAAGGAGUUUAUAAAAAUGGAAACCUAAAAUUCCAAGUUACAGAGUUAAAGAAACUGUCCAUGGGAUGGGUGGUGUAGGUUGUUCCAUGAAGAAAACACCAGAUAUCUGUCUUAGUUAAAAAGAUAGACUCUGGACUUCUUUGUUCAUCCACCCACUUCUGUUCAAGAAUGUAUGUUUGGCCUUGAGAACUUGAC